UUGGUUAUAAUCCCGGCCAAAAGUGUGAAAGGGUUGUUGAUUGAGGAUGAUUGAUAAAUGCAAGUUUUAGAGAUUACAUGGUUCAUUUAAUGGAUGAGAAUGUAAUACAAUUCAAAAGUGUAGAUUUCAAUAAACACAAAGUGCAGUGUUACAAAAUCAUUCAAAGACUCACUCCUUCCCUCGGUUAAAAUCCACAUUAAUGCAGCUCUGAUGUCAGCCCCUUCUGUGUUUGCCCGCUCAGGUAUUGUCUGACAGUAGGCUCUAGGGGUGCAACGGAUCAAAAAACUCACGGAUCGGAUCAUUUUUCGGAUCAGCAAAAAAAAAAAAGACAAGACAAAUAAACAUAAGUUUUGUCUUUUUGUUUAUUAAGACUUUUAAAUUAUUAAAUUGAAAUACAGUAUAUAAAAUCAACUUAAAGUGCACAAGGCAUAGUAUCUUCUUGUUAACAUAAUUAUUGAAAAACAACAUGAAGUGCAACAUAAACAUGGACCAAUGACCACCAUUAAUAAAAAACAACGUAAAGUGCAACAUAAGAAGGCACACCAUCUUCCUUGAAACAUGGAUAGUGAAAUAAAGCCUAUGUCCACAAUCACAUCAUCACAGAAGAAUAAAAGAAAGAAAGAAAGAAAGAAAGAAAGCAAAGCAUACCUGAGCUUAUAAUUUCAAAUUCUUUUUCAAAAAGACAAGGAUGUCGACAUUGUCUGGGGAGAGUGUCGACCUCUUUGCAGUCACUAUGUCCCCUGCUGUUGAGAACACUCUCUCGGAAGGAACUGAAGAGCCUGGCACAGCGAGAUAGCAUCUUGCCAUCUUGGCAAUAUGAGGGUAUUUACACUCAUUGCUUUUCCACCAUGUCAGUGGAUCAUCAUCCACUGUAAUGCCGCUUGCUGCCAGGUAGGAUGCCACCUCCUCUUUGAUGAUGUCAGCAGGAGUCAUGCUGUCCAUGUCUUUGCUGGCAAAGGUCUCUCCUAAAAGCUCUGCCAUCGCGGACUUCUUUUGUGGAGGAGAUGUGUCCAAGUUUGCUCCUGUUGGCUCUGCAGCUUGACCCUGCAGAAAAAAAUCAGUUGAUUAAUUAAACCUAUUAUUUAUUUUCAUGUUUCAUAGACAUGACAAAUGUGGCAAUAACAUUUAAUAAAAGCCAUUAUCACUGAAAAUAAAAAAAAUAUUUAGAUUUAAAUGUAUACUUUUUAAAUAAUAUUAUUUUUCUUUACCUCAUCACAGUCUUCAGUGCCCAGACUGCUCACAAUCUCAGUGGUGAGGUCAGUGCAUGUCCUCUGGCGUAGGGCAGGGUCCAUGUGAGACAGGGACUGAACCUCGGAUCCAGGGCAGUAGAUCUGUGAAGGUAGUCCUGUAGAGUAGGGGAUGAAGUGUAUCUGGGCUGCAGGUCCUCUCUAAUGGCAGUCUUGACAUCUCGAGUGAUGGUGCGGUCUUCCACACUUGGAGCCAUGGAUUGUAGAAUCCUUGUUUUCAGCGGCAGGAUCAUUGACACAGAUGGUGAAGUUUCAGUGCUCAGCAGAGAUGUAACAGUUUUGAGUGGUUUAAGCACCUGGAGGACCUCAUCUGCCACUCUCAUGUCAUCAUCAGACAGGGUGAUGAUGUCUUGGUCAAUGCAGAGUGUAUAGCUGCCUGCUGCUCCAGAUAACGCUCCAACAUAUACUUAAGCGGAGUUCCACCUUGUUGGGACAUCAUGUAUGAGCUUAUGAGUAGGCAGCUUUAGCAUUUCUUGCUUUGUCUUAAGCACAUGAGCAGCUGUUGUGCUUCGGUGGAAGUAGGAAACCACCUUCCUGAUCCUCCCAAGGAGGCGGUCCAUCCUAUUGACUGAGAUUCCCUUCUGUGAUGCCAAAUUCACUACAUGUGCAAAGCACCCUAUCUGUGGGCCCAGUCCUGCCUCAUUCACUGCAUUUAUUAGAUUUUUGGCAUUAUCAGUUGUGACUGGGAUAUUACUAGUACUGGGCCUCUUUAUCUUCCAUUCCUCCACUGCUUGUGUCAGUACCUGCGCAAGAUGAGUGCUUGUGUGACUCUCGUAGAGGGGCCGUGUCUGCAGCAACGGACUUCUCAUCUCCCAGUCUGCUGUGAUGAAGUGAGCGGUUAUCGUCACAUAGCUCUCCGUUCACCCGUCUGUCAUGAGCGCAACAGAGGAUGCUCGGGACAGUUCAUCCACACCUUUUUUCUUCUCCUGCUCAUAAAAAUCUGGCACAAUCUUUUCGCUGAAGUGGGUUCACGGAAUGUCGUAACGUGGCUCAAGCACUUUCAGCAUGUGUUUAAAGCCCUCGUUUUGCACAACCGAAUAUGGCCUCAUGUCUGCACCUAUAAACACACCGAUAGCGUUUUUGAUGGCUUUAGCCCGGUCUGAUUGUGCAGCAAGGGGCUGCUUAAAUGCCGCGGUGAUAAGCGGUUGUUGAGCAGCUUUAGUUUUCACACCGGGGUGAUGUUGCUUCAAAUGCGUGGCCAUGCUUGAUGUGUUUCCACUGUCAUAUGGCUUUCUUGUGCCACAGUGCCUACACACCGUCACGGUUUUAUCCACUAACCUCUUUCCUUCAUCAUUAUAUUUGACAGGGAAGCCAAAAUGCUCCCACACAGGGGAUUUAAAUUACGCGGGGCGUUCAAGCUCCUCCGUUCCUCGGCUCGCCAUGACCACGCUGUGUGUGGACUGAACAUGCGCACAACUUUUUUUUUUUUCAGAAAUCCGCGGAUCACGUGUGUGCCCAACCGAAGAUAUUGAUCCAAACGGAUCACGGAUCAAUGAUGAUCCGUUGCACCACUAGUAGGCUCUAUGUUGAGAGUCCUGUCUGGGUGCUCUUCACUAAAAUUAUCACCAUGUUCCUCACAAAUGUUAUGGAGGACACAGCAGGUCAGUGCCAUCCUCUUGCUAAGCUCUAGCUUGCAGUCGUUUCUUUUUAGGAGUCCUUUUAAUCUGCCAAAAGACAUCUCCACAACCGAUCGUGCACUGCUACGCCUAUGUGUGCUGUUCAGGAGUCAGUCUGCCAGUGUCGCAAAAGGGCUUCAUGAGCCAAUUCUGCAUGGAAUAUGCCGGAUCACCGAUCAGGUAAUGUCCAACAUCACAGCCUGAGAUAGUCACUUUGUUUUGCCCCAGUAAUUCCCGUCACUUAAGGCCUCCCACCAAUGUGAUUGUCGUAGCACUUUGGCGUCAUGCACACUCCCUGGAUAGCCAACACAAACAUCCGAGAAUAGACCGUUGCCAUCCACAACUGCUUGCAGAACAAUAGAAUGCCAGCCUUUACGAUUGAAAUAGUCUCGUGGAUAGUCCUCCGGUGCAAUUACUGGAAUGUGGCUGCCAUCAACUGCACCCACACACUGUGGAAUUCUCCAACGAUUAUUAAAGAAAGUGGCCAUUUCUAGCAACUUUUCAGCAUCAGGAAAUCUUAUGUGGAUGGGAAGGAGCAUUGUGAUGACUGUGUUGCAGAAUUCCUGAACACAAUUAAAUACAGUGCUGAGGCCUACUCCAAAAAGAUGGUUUGUUGUUCCAAAAAAUCUUUCAAGCAUAUCAAAUAAACUGUUCCAUCUGGUCAUGAUGUCUUGAGUCAGUUUAUGGUGGGGUAAAUCCAUCAGCUUUUGUUUUUCCCGUAGAACGUCACAUGCAAUAGGGCUGCGGUGAAAAUAUCCAACCUUUUUUCGCACUUUCCCCAACAACCUGGAAGCACGGUCCACCCCCAAACCCUUCUGUGAAGCCAGGUUGAGCGUAUGUGCGAACACCUCCGUUGUGGGCCUGAGAGAUAAACGCCUAUCAGAACAGUUACAAUGGAUUCUGAACUGACUACAAAGCAAACCGGUAAAGAAGCAACUUGAAAUGCUGAAAACAAACUUUAAAGCAGAAGCCAACAACACCCAGCUAGACAGUGUGCAUUCAUGACAGCGCAGCAACUCAAAGCAAAAGCAGCAGCAGAGUAAACAGACAUUUUUAAUUUAGUGUUUAAGAUGGACACGAUGUCACUGCAAUCCCUACAAAACUGUACGCCCAGGGCCAGUUCAGUAAACUAUCCAAAGCCACAAAGAUUCUUUACGGGCCACGAGGGACGGCAUUAAAGGUAGAUGGAAAAUUCAAAGUGACUCUUAGUAAGUUCUAUGGAAGCACACAAGAAGAGGUCUAUGUUGUUGAGGGGCUACGAACACCACUUCUGGGUGGACUAGCCACCAUGACACUUCAAUUGGUUGCUCGUUUGAAUAAUGUAAGCCUGGAUACCGAAGAGACUGUAAAGAGUUUCCAAAGCUUUUCUCUGGACUAGGGAAAAUGGAGGCGGAGUACACCAUUGUACUGAAGCCUGAUGCAGAGCCAUUUUCCCUCUCCACAUCACGACGCUUAUCCCUCCCACUCAUACUAAGAGUAGAAGAGCUCAUUCGCAUGGAGUGAUUUCAAAAGGUGGAGGAGCCAACAGCAUGGUGUCCACCCAUGGUUGUGGUGCCUAAGCGCACCGGCAAAGUUUUUGCCAUUUGAUUAAUGGUAAUUUUUAUAGCACAGAAACCGCACUGGAAGGAAUAGAAGGCCAUUCGUAAUUUGAAUGGCCUUCUGCAUCGUACCAAGGACUCAUCUCAUUUCUUGUCUUGCUGGACCUCAGUGCCGCAUUUGACACCAUUGAUCAUUAAAUCCUGUUGCACAACAUUUGAUCCGUAUUAAAAAGGAACCUCACGCGGUCCUAUAUAUCGGAUCAAUCCCAGUUGGUGCUUUUAAAUGGUGAAUCCUCGAUGACCACCAAUUUUGAGUCAAGGGCGACUGGGUGAGUGGGGAGCAUGGUCGUCCUCCAAUCAGAGGGUUGUCGGUUUGAUCCCAGGCCCGGCUAACCCGCAUGUCGUUGUGUCCUUGGGCAAGACACUUAACCCAACAUUGCUCUUGUAGCUGCGACUACAGUGUGUGAAUGGUAGUUACUGAUGGCAGGUGUCACUGUGUGUGGUUCUCCUGUCAUCAGUGUAUGAAUGAUGUCAUGUAGUGUUAAAGCGCUUUGAGUGGUCAGAAGACUAGAAAAGCGCUAUACAAGUACAGGCCAUUUACCAUUACCACAAGGUUCUGUGCUUGGACCGAUUUUUUUACCCUGUAUAUGUUUCCUUUGGGCGAUUGUUGUGUAGCAGACUCUACUAAUACGUAAAGAUCGCACAUGAGACCGUGUAGGAAAAUAACGGGUAUACUUUAAUGGACGUUAAAUAACACAAAGAAUACCCAGCAUUCAGAGCAGGUGAACAGUUUUCAUUAUGGAUGCCCCGCAGGAACAAACUUCAUCAAUACACAACAGCGAUAUUAUCAGAAAACACUGCUGUUUAGGUUGCUGGUAACCACAGGACCAGGAUAUAAAAACGUCUCAGGCAAGACGUAGUCCGGUGGAGAAUAUAUUUCACUGAAGGUUUUGGUACACAGGUAAUCAGCCAGUCCGGCAACGGUAUCCAAAUUACCAGGCAAAACUAAGUUACACAGAAACUAGUCAAGACAUGGAGAAGACACACAAGGAAAUUGCUGGUAGGCUCACUGGUACAGAACAAGGCUUGAGCUUUUUAGGACACAGGAUGUUGGAUGUGCAUAGACUAAAGAGGCAAAUUGGAAAUUAGCGAUUUUGGGCUAUACAAAAUGCAUUGGAUGGAAAUCCUACCAACCAUUAUUAAUUAAGCACUAUUCUUCUGAAUAUCUGGUUAGCCCCUCCAAUAAGUGAGAUGGUAUUUAACCUCAACGUACCCUACAUUGUGCUCAUCUUUAGCGUAACACUGGAGCACUGCCUCAAUUUACAAGAUGCCAUGGCUUGACGAUGACCAUGAAUUUAAGGCCAUACACAAAAGCUAACAAGUUGCUCAUACAGCUUAGCACACUGGUGCUCCUAUACCCUCAGACCAGACACACAGAUUCACUUGCGUCGCUGUACUUUUCCCGCCAAUAACAGCAGCGCAAUCACAGCUCAAAUUGUCAAGGGAUGAUUAAUCAAUGUAAUCAAUGUCAAUGUAAAAAUCCUGAUUUGCACCUGAUUUGCACUGUAAAAAGUGCAAAUCAGGUACAUGUGGGCGCAAAAUAAAACAUUCGCAAGAAAAAGUCUGAGAAUAUGCCCUUCUCGUGUGAGGCCGCAAAACCCGAAUCUCUUCACUCGCAAAGAUGUUUUCUGCUCGCUGUUCUUUUUGACAUGGGGGCAGACCCAGUUGCCACGGUAUCUAUAUCUAAUGGUUACAAACCGCGUCUUUGGAGGUCAUCUCUGUUGAGACGUCUACAUUCCCAAAACAAUGGAAGCUCAUUUCCACAUAAUUUUUUAUUUCAUUUUUAAGAAGGCUUGGAAAAUUGAAAUUAUGAGAAGACAUCACAGGUUCCUUCAUAGUUCGGCAAAGUUGGUAAAAUAUUCACUUUCCAGUUCAAUAGCUCGUUAGCAAAACCUUAUUUUACCAAUACAGGCCGGUCUGCGAGCUGGACGAAUUGGUCUUAAUGUGCGGCCAAGUGUAUUUUACUAUAGACUCGCGGUAAAAUUAUGGUAAAUUAGGGUAGAGGAAAAACCACUGCUUUAGUGUCAGGGAGCGGAACGCAGAGUUAAAAAAAAAAAAAAGACUUGAAUAAUCAAAAUUUCCAAAAUCAAAAAGCCAAGGGGCAAAAACGCAGACAAGAACAAGGAACAGGCAUGGACUUCCGGAGAUUUAACAAUGACGCGACCAGUGACAAGAGACACACAUGGCUUAAAUAAACUGGGAAGGUGCAGGUGAUUGGACACAGGUGAUGACAGGACAAGGCAGGAAGUGAAGUAACCAGGGAGACAAGAGCCAGAAAACUACAAAAAAAAAAACAGGACAUGAACCCAAACCAUGACACUUUAGGUUGCUUUAUUAAAUUAGAUGUCAUUUGCUUUAUCCAAAGCAACUUAUAAUAAGUUCAUUUCAACCAUAAGGAUACAAACCCAGAUGAAGAAACAAAAUGCAAUUUCAUCAAAAAAAAAGCCAUGAGUAAAUGAGACAGCUGAGGAAAAGGAAGGAGGUCUGGAUCGAUUAGAUUGUAGAAUAUGGGAUGGAAUGGGGACAGGAUUGAAGUUAAACAGGAUGACAGUACAUCUUCUAAUAUACACCACAUCUGCAUGCCAGGCCGUUAGCUACAGCACACCCGAUGGAAGAAUCAAUGGCAAAAAAAAUAGGGAACUGUAGUCAUGUGUUAACAACUAAGCCAUCUCCAUGACAACUAAGCAUGGGUGGACCGAUAAUGUCUAAUUUAGAAAAAACAUAAUGUAAGCGUCUUUAAACUUUGACUGUGAUGACAUUAUAAUGAGCAAACGUUUGAAUAUUACAUACUAUUUUAGUAUAAGUCAUUCUUUUCGGCAACUGCAAGUGCUGGGAAUUCUUUUUAGAUAGACAAUUUUGCCGUAGAGGCUUCCAGAGAGUCUCAAGUGUUGUAUUAAGUUCUAACUAGACCGCUCAUAUCUCACACACUGUUUGAACUACUAAAUCCGUGGGAUGUCUGCUGAAGUCUUAUUUGAAUCCAGUAUUGGUAAAGGAAGAGUUUGGAUGUUUUUUUAGGUACUUAACUUGUGUUGCUGCAGUCGAGGGAGGGGGGAGAGAAACCGACGGGACCAUUGGAGCAAAGCAAUAUACAGCUGGGGACUUAUUUUAGACACCUAUAUGCAAUUUUAUCCAUUUACACUAUAUUUAGGAUAUUUUCCCGACAACUGAAGAGGUUCUCAGUGUCUUUCAAAAGCCUCCCAGAACAUGCAGUUCCAUGUUUACUGCUGCCUGCAUUAGUUGGUUUAUGUUUUUGGGUGGCUUCAGUGUUGUAUAAUAGAGCAUAGCAAUGGUAUUACUGUUUAAGUAAGGAGCUCCGUGCUGAAAGGCAGCUGUUGUUCAAGAAGGAAAAUCAAGACAUAUAAUAAUGUAUUCCCACAGUACUUUGGAUAGACUUUAUUCACAAUAAAAUUAUUAGGACCUGACCUAAUUUACCUUAUGAUAACUAUGUGUGUUCCUUGGUACAAACUGAACCGCUGCGUGGAUGCUGGAAUGUAUCUCACCCUUACUGGUACAACAGACAACCUGUGUUUAUGUCCAGAAUCAACCUAUUUUUAAGUGAGUUGUACAUUAUAGGCUGCCAACUGAAAUAUAUUGCAAUUAUCGUAGGCAAUUAUUUUCACUGCAUUCCAUUUUUUUUUUCAGGUAGAACAAUAUUUAUUCUUAAAAUCACUCUGUAAGAAGAAUAUAUAAAAAACAUAGUUGGCAUCCCAACUCUUAACAAUUUCCAGCUGUAGAUCCCAGGCCAGUCAUAAUUACUAGCAACAGAUUAUCAUGAAUAAGGUAAGCAGUUAGUAUUUACACAGCUUUGUCCUGUGAGUGUGGGCAUUGAUAUGGUUCCCCGAUCACUCUGUUGACAGGCUAGAUGAAAGGGUGACUUUGAUGAAGUGGAGCAGGGAUCCUGUUUGAUGUGUCCGCCAUAGGGCCACUGGCACCCGACAACCUGCGCCAUAGCUGGAACUCUUAUGUGUUUGUCAGGGUUUAAUUCCCCACCCAAGGAGAAAUGACCGUGUUGGACGAGCUCAGGUUCCACAGGCAGAAUUUAAACACGUCUGCCUGGGAGACUAGACACCCGUCGCUGCAGUAGUGGCCAAUUAAGAUCAGGUGUCAGCCCGUUGACAUGUGAAGGAUGGAAUGUGCAAGUGUUUCGUCAGACAAGGAUAGGGACGUAGUGUUGGUGGUGACAGUUUUCGUCCCGGACAUGGAGGGCCGAUUGAAAACACAUGGCCACUUUGCCCCCAGACGGAAACCUUCACUUGGGUCCAGGCUUAUCGGCUAAUGUUGGAAUGUCAGAGUGGCUUUCUCUUGUCCUGUCUUAUUUAUUCUUUCAUCCUCUUUUCCCUUCAUCCUUCCUGGUUUAUUUGCUUUCUUUUGAGUCUGGCUUAUUGAACUGUGGGGAUACUUUGAGUAUAAUGUCUCACAAUGUCUUUGACAUGCAUAAUUAACUUCACACUCUGCAUGCUGCCCACAUCGCAUUGUAGUGUAAAAGGCAGCUCGCUGAUUCAUGUUUCGUUCAUACAUAGGGGAAAUUAAUAAGCUACCAUGGCCAAGCUUCUGAGAGGGACAGCGAGAUCACACAUUGAUAAUACAUUUCUUGAAUUAUGCAUGUGACCAUGAUAAAAUAUUUGUUUUUAUUUAUGUUCCUCGUAUCACACCUCUGUCACAACUUUCUUAGAGGUGUGGUAUAAAAAGGCAACAAAAGUGAGUACUGCAUUAAAAAUUUGCCUUAAAGUAAAACUAUAAAUAAAAACUCAUUUCAGAAUGUUUUAUAUUCAGUCAGACUAUUAUACAAUAAUAUGUAGACGUAUUUUUCAAUAUUUUUUCUUCUUUAAAUUGCAAGAAUGAAUCAUAUUCUAUUUCCGCAUCAUACUUUUAAUAUACUUGUCGCAUUAAAAUAAGUAGUUUUUACAUAAGACGCAGAUAUCUAACAACUUCUAUACUGUAUUUAAACUAAAUAUUCAGUGGAGUUAAACAGAAUAUUCACUGAAAGUUCAAACCGAAAAACCUUUAGGUCAAUGUAAAAUGGACUUCAUCAAUUUACAAAUAAUGAGCAACCUGAUACAUCUUUCUCCAGGCAGUUCAAAAUGUCUUUAGUGUCUGCAGCUUUGUACCUCUGGCACCCUUGGGACCAGGCAUCAACGACUGCGUCCAGCUGGCCUUGCCACAGCCGCCCCUCCAGAGUAGAAAUGGUCCGGUCCAUGGCACAUGAAUGUUGCUAUCCGUUUGCAUAUUCCUUUUGCUGUGAAUGUUUUUGGCCUAAAGAAGGGAAAGUGUCUUCAGCAGGGUGGUGCAUUUGAUGUUGGAAAAAACGCGGAUAAGACAGUUAAUCUUACAUGGGCCGAGAUAGCGGUGCGGAGGUCAGUGAAGUUCGCCCAGCCAGGCACCCUGCAUGCACUGCAGCAGGUGUGUGACUUGCCUUCCUCAAUCGCCAACCAUAAAGUGAUCUGUUUAAGGGUUACACUUUUGCCACAGCCAUCUCCCAAACCAGGAGGAGUAUUUGUCUUCCCCGCAGGUACAUCUGGGUCGCUCCAAAGUCACGGUUAGUCUUGUGCUCAGCCACCUGCAUACUGCAAAUGAUCUGAUCUAAGAUCCGCUGCGGAUGGCUGCCUCGGUACGACGGUACGGUUUGUUUCUUGUUAAUUAUGUUUUCUUUUGGCACUUUCUCCAGAGAUGAGCUUGUGAAGAUCCUGGGAACAACAACUUCAGCGGAGGUACUUCCAACUUUUCUUCUGUCUUCUGUGGAAUUAGGUGUGCUCACCUUUACUCACACGGUGAGACGCCGUAGGAGAGGAAAAUGGGCCGGCUCCUUAGUGCGCUCUGCAAGCGUGGCUUUCGCACACCGCUGCCGGGCAUCUUUCUCACCAACGUGCGCUCACUGAGCAACAAACUGGACGUUUCAGCUGCUGGUGAGGAACACAGACACUUGCAUACUCCGUUUUGUGCUUCACAGAGACCUGGCGUUAUGGAUUGAUACCGGACUUUCAAAAAACCUUGGAGUGAGAUUUUGUUGGGAGUGCCGGGGGGUGCGGAUGCUACGGUCGACAGGGGUGGACGCUACAGCUACAGAGCACGUUGGAUCACUGUUACACCACAGCAAGCAGGACCUAUCACGGCGUCCCUCGUGCUGCGCUGGGACACUCUGACCACGUCAUAGUCCAUCCGAUUCCUGCAUGCAAGCAGAAAGCUGUGCAAACCUGCGGUGAGGGAAUUCAAGAAUUGGGUCUUCGGGCGUGCUUGGACUGCACAGACUGGGUUGUUUUCAGGACUGCUACUAACAGUCCGGAUGAGUUCAGAGGCUGUGACUUCUUACAGGAUGUCAAACCCUGGUUUACAGCUGAACUCAGGAAUCUAAGAGUGGGGACAAAGACUUGUACAGAGUCAAAAUACAGGUUUAGCAAGGCGGUGAGAGAUGUUACUGUACUCUGAAAAACUUAAACAGUUCUCAGCAAGUGACUCUGCUUCGGUUUGGCGAGGCUUUAAAAACCUCACAAACUACAAGCCCAAAAAAAACCCUCCAUGAAUGACCUCUGAACUGAACGAGUUGUACUGCAGAUUAGAUAAUCAAUAACCUCGCUCCAUUCCCCACAGCUCCACCAACCUGCCCCAGACCCCAACUCCCCCAGCCCAUCAGGGACUCACGCCUCUGUAUCCCACCCCCCGAAAUUCAAUCUGCCAAAGACGAUGAUGGUGCACUUCUACACGGCCAUCAUCGAGUCCAUCCUCUGCUCCUCCAUCACAGUCUGGUACGCUGCAGCCACAGCAAAGGACAAGGGCAGGCUGCAGCGUGUCAUCUGCUCUGCCGCAAUCUGAUGUCUCUCCAGGACUUGUUCGCUUCCAGGACCCUGAAGUGAGCUAGAAAGAUUGUAGCCGACCGCUCUCACUCCGGGCAAAAUCUGUUCCUGCUCCUUCCAUCCGGCAGGAGGCUGAGGUUCAUCAGGACUAAGACCUCCGGCCACACCAACAGUAUCUUUCCGUCAGCAGUCGGGCUCAUCCCCCACUGACAUCUCACCGGUCACUCUUUUCACACUCCACAUACACUUGUCACUUUCUGGUCGCUGGUGCACUCUAUUUUUUCUUUUAUUUUUAAUUUAAAUUAAAUCUUCUCUGUUACAGUCUGGCUCCUCGACUGCAACAAAUGAUGAAUGAUUACGGCAAUUAAGGGUUUUUAACACAAAAAGGUUGAUUUCUAAACUAUAAACUAUGCUUUUUCUAAAGAAGGAACAAACAUUACCUGUCAUUUAGCUGGCGCUUUUAUCCAAAGCGACUUACAAUAAGUGCAUUCAACCAUAGGGAUACAAACUCAAAAAACAAGUGCAAUUUCGUCAAAUAAGCCAAUUUAUGAAGCUGGACCCGAUCCAUUCACAGCAUGGUAUGUUAGCACCAAUGUUUUCAAAUGGAUGCGGGCAGCCACCGGUAGCCAGUGAUGAGAGCAGAGUAGAGUGGGAGAAUACCGGAAGGUUAAAGACCAGUCGAGCUGCUGCAUUCUGAAUGAGCUGCAGAGGUCGAAUGGCGGUGGCAGGGAGACCAGCCAGGAGGGAGUUGCAGUAGUCCAGGCGGGAGAUGACAAGAGCCUGAAUCAGUACCUGCGCUGCCUUCUGAGUGAGAAGAGGACGUAUUCUCCUGAUGUUGUAGAGCGUGUAUCUACAGGAUCGUGUUGUUGCAGUGAUGUUGGGAGUCAGGGAGAGUUGGCUGUCAAGUGUGAUGCCGAGGUUCCUAGCAGUCAAACUGGGAGUUGCCAUUAACCGUCAAAUCCUGGGUCGAAGAAGCUUUUCCAGGAAAGAGAAGUAAUUCAGUCUUGUCGGGGUUGAUUUUGAGAUGGUGAGCGGACAUCCACUGAGAGAUGUCAGACAGGCAGAGAUCCGUGCCGCCACCUGAAUGUCCGAGUGAGAGAAGGAGAGAAUUAGUUGGGAUUAUCGGCAUAGCUGUGGUAGGAGAAGCCAUGCGAGAGAAUGACAGCGCCGAGAGAGUUGGUGUAGAGCAAGAAGAGGAGGGGAGCCAGGUGCCUUCAGGAAGUAUGGCUGCCAAUGCACCCGGUUGGGCUUCUCCUAAAGGCUGGCUGCACUGGCCAGCUGCCUCCAAUCUGGUUAAUGGCCUCAACCUCCAGCCACCCAGUAACCUGCAAGACAGACACCAACGGCAGAGGACCAAGACCUCCCACCACAGAAACGGUUUCUUCCUGUCGGCAUUCGGGCUCAUCAACAGAGCCCGGGUCCCCCACUGAGUGACUGACAUCUCACUGGUCACUCUCUUUCCACAUUCACUUGUCACUUUCUGUUUGCUGGUGCACUCUAUUUUUAUCUUUUAGCUUACGCUUUUAUCCAAAGAGACUUACAAUAAGUGCAUUCAACCAUAGGGUACAAACUCAGAGGAACAAGAAACAAGAAAGUGCAAUUUCCUCAAAUAAGCCAAUUUGCUAUAGAUGAGUGGCGUUAAGUACAAUUUAAGUGCUGCAAUUUGUUAGUCUUUUAGUCGAGGUAGAGUUUGAAGAGGUGUGUCUUUAGUUUGCGGCGGAAGAUGUGAAGGCUCUCUGCGGUCCUGGUGUCUUCAGAGAGCUCGUUCCACUAUUUCGGAGCAAGCAUAAAUUAAAUGUUGUUCUUACACUAUGUUGUCUUAUCUGUCGUGUUGUCGAUUGUCUGAUCUGAUGUCAUGCGCCAAGUCAAAUUCCUUGUAUGUCUAACAUAUUUUGGUAAUAAAUGUUCCUGAUUCCUGAUACAGAGAGCGGAAAAGGGCAGACAGGUUUUCAAAAAGGGCGAGAUGCAUGGGGAUUUUUUGGAGCCCACACCCACCAAUAGAACACCCAGUGGCGGGCAUUUUGCAGGGGUCGGUCUUGUCCUCAAGGACCUCAGCCACGGCGUAUACGCCAUCAUGUCUGGGUCCGGUUAUCGGGAUUUACUCGGCUCAAUUGCUAAAAGCUAACGCUAACUUUUACUUUAACACUGUAGCCUACUAUUUGCCAUAUUGUCACAACUGCAUUAAACGAACCUCAAGUGCAGGGAUUCCCAAAGUGUGGUGCGGGCAGCCCUCAGGGUGCAUGAGCGGAAAAAUGUAAUGGUGAUCUCUGUAAUAAUUAAUCCUAAAUUAUUAUUAUUUCUUUUUUUAAUAAGUGGGUUUUUACACAAAAUAGCAACAUGAAUUAUAAAAAACCCUACAUUAACAAACCAUACAUAUUUCAUAAAUAAUUGCAUUUGAGCUCUUUUUACGGACACACUAGCUAACAUCAGCUAACUUUAUUACAAAUAUGCUUAACUGGCUGAAGUCGGGAAACUGUCAGAGAGACAUCUGUUGAGUUAUGAGAGAGGAGAUGGACAGAGGGGGAGUAAUCGUAGAAACGUCUCGACUCGCUCUCUAACGUUACUCCUCCUUCUCCCCCCUCCCUCUCUCUCUGCAGCCUGAGCCCCCCUGCGCUGUGUGUGAAAUCCUCAAAUGGACUCCUCCCUUUCUUAUUCAUAUCAGUUUGAGACUAUACAUGUGCCAAUAUGUGUUUGUAGCCGCGAUAGCGCUACCACCGGCGGGUUCUGUAAAGACGCACGGACACACGAUGAGGGUAACCAGUCUUUAUUCUCCAAAAGGGGAAGGCAGUGAGCAGGAAUGAGGUCGCUCGAUGUGCGUGCUCGGUUUCGCUUUGUCCGGCUCCGCUCAGCUCUCGUGCUCUGCUCUCGGGCUCCAUUCCGCUCUGCUCGGCUCACGUUCCCCCGACCUGGAUCCUGCUCACUGCUUAUGUAGGAGACAAUCAGUGCAGAUUAUUUACACCUGGUUACUCCUCACCUACCAGCACCGUCCCCUGAACCACUCCCCCGCUCUCCCCCAUGCAGCUGAGCUAACCACGCCCCUCCACCAGUGUUCUUUAAGUGGUUCUGUUUAAAAUGAAAAUUUCAAAAUUCCCAUAUCUCAGUCAGACAAUCAGUCAUGAUUUGUUGCUUUACAAUUUUAAUGAAUGUUACCACUAUGUAUGAUUAAAUGUGAUGCAAUCAACCUUAUUGCUGUUUAAACGUGACGUAACUGGAAAUGAUUAAAACGUUGUUGCAGUGUUCCAGGGCAUUUUCCCACCUGUAGUUUGGGUUGACACUGAGCUUUAAAGGCCAUCUAAAUAUUAGAUAACAAUACCACAAAUGAGCAAACUGUUAUUUUAUUGCAGCUAUCAAUAGGCUCGGUUUCUCUUUUCUUUUUUUUUUGAAUGUGGGAAGGUUUGGGGGUGCAUGAAGAGGUCGGGAGGUAGAAGGAUGCGUGGGCUAAAACGUUUGGGAACCGCUGCUCUAGUGUCAUGCAUUUACAAACUCUGAAUGAUAUUUUUGAUGGAUCCACUCCUGAUACAGUCCGAUUAAACAUAACUUUAAGAAUUAUUCCACCUUUUCCAAUUGAUCAAAAAUAGAUUACACUAUUCAGUCAUUUUAUUUACUAUUAUCCAUUUGCGCAUCUAUUUUUUCUUUUGGAAAAAAACAACAACAUGCAUCUCAAGAGGGAGUGGGUCACUCCAUUACCAACGGAUCUCCUGUUGAUUAAAUCAAAACAUGUCCAGAUGUCUGAAUGAGCAAACAAAUUGUGUUUGGUUGAUUCACUAGGAAGGCUGCCAAUCAAAUGUUAUAGGUUCAGUUGAGACAAAAUCACAAAAUACUCAUUAGACAUUAGACAUAAUAAUAAUAAUCAUGGCGACACAUCUACUACUUAACUGGGAUUGUUCAUAAACUAACAGGGAGUCUAUAUGCAGCCUCAGUGGUUACGUUUAGCGGAAAGAAAGCCUACCGAGCAUUUUGCUGCUGCUCCUUAAUAACCGACGGAGGGAUACUGAUGUUUAUAAAAGAGGGAGUGGGUCACUCCAUUACCAACGGAUCUCAGGCUCAUGCACACCCAAAGGUUACUGUAGAUUCAGAAGUUUUAUUACAUACACAUCAUGCCUCCUACGUUCACAUCGAAACAUCAUCUUGACAGCAGCCCCCUUUAACGAGCCCUUAAUAAUGCAUGCUAAUCCCGCCCCUGUUGAUCUCACGAUGGGCGCAUUGUUAAUAGCGUGGACAACAACCCGCCGAUGCUCUCACUGGCCUCUCCUCCUUUGUCCCCCCGCACUCACAUCGGCAGCUGUAUCUUUUAAUGAGAUCACACUUCAUUAAAUAGGGGCCCCCACAACCUUCCCCAGGUCUUUUUACCGCAAACACUUCAAUUAGCUGCAGCGGAUGACAGCCGAUAGGAGUCGGUAAGUACAGAAAGAGGAAGAGAAGGAAGGAGGUGAUCUAAUAAAAGGUGCUGUGAAAAGUAAAUGAUGAUUUCAUCUUUAUGGAGUAUUGUGUGUAGCAGCUGAUGUGUGAGGUCAUGUGUGUGUGUGCUGAGUUGAACAUAUCUGGGCUUUCAUUUCGUCUCUCCGCACGUACGUAAAUAAAUGUUCGGUGUCUAAAAGGGUUGGCAUGGCAACACCAGGCAAACGCCUUCUAUGUCACUAUGGGGAUAUAUUUCAUGAAGCUUCUGCCAUGUUAAGUGUAUGCACAUCUGUUCUAAAAUGAACAGUGCAUGCAGCUGUUCACUAUAUUCAGAGACAGUCCUCUGCUCAGGAUCAUGAGGAGUACGUCUCAGCCCUCGGACCUUGAAGGGCAAGACUAAAAUCAACAUUGUAUAUUCAAACUGAACAACAAAAGCUUGAAGAUGGAGUCGGAGGAAAUUUUCCUCGUUUGAAAGAUGAUAUACACUGUUGCUGAUUUUAGCCCAAAGGGACAAUGUCGGAACAUGGUUAGGACAGGAUUGUCCAUUUGGAGCUCUGCGGUUAGGACACAAUCUGUGUUCCGUGUUAAUCUUAAUUAAUUAAUCUUUUCAAAGCUCUUGCUUUCUAAAAUAACUUCAAUAGCUUCUUCAACAUGACACCACCAGUUUGUCUUAAAGGGAAACUGCUCAAUUUCAAACAAUGUAUGUUCAACAAGCAGAGAUAUACAACCAACACUCAUCUUAUUAGUAAAGUUAUAUUUUUCUUACUAAGGGAAAUCUUUUAUAAACCUUAAUCCGGUUCAAAUAAAUAUUCAUUUUUAUAGGAACUGUAAUUUCCCUGGAAACAACCAUUAAGUAACUAUUGAGUUACUGAUAACUAGCACAUUCUAGAGGUUUUAGUCAGGGCUGUCUGAUGAAUGCAAUCAUAAUUUGUCAGGGAUGAAAUUCCUGACACAGGAAGAAAAAAAAUGAAGUGAUGAUAUCAGAGGGGGGGGGUCCCUCUAAUUCUUAGAAAGCCCAAAGAGUAAUACAUUUAGGUUGGAGGUAGCAACUAUCAAAAAGAGACCACCAUCUUUCCUUAACCUCAACAAACUGCGUUGAGUUGCUUUAACACAAUUCACCAUACAUUGAUUUAUUUAUGGCAGCAAAUCACUGUCAAAAUUCAAGAGCGCAAAUCAGGUUGAUGCGCGCGUAAAUCAAACAUCCGCGAGCAAAUCUGUCUCACGCGAAAUAUGUGCUGCUCGUGCUCGAAGGUGUUUCCUACGCGCUCGCUGUUUCUCUUUUUGACAGUAAGGGGGCGGAGCCAGUCACCAUGGUACCUACAUCUAAUUGGUUACAAACCCCGUCUUUGGAUUGGCCGGAGUUAUGCAUUCACACAACUAUAGAAGCCCAUUUCCGCACGAAAGAAAGGGGAUAGAAAUUUGAUUAUUUAUGAGAUAAAACGUUGUCAAAUAACAAACGCCCCGCUUCGGUAAUCGUAGUGGACCGUAGAUGACAACCAGCUACAACCAUCAUUCACCAUCAUUAUCAUCGUUUUUAUAGUUGUGUGAAUGCAACACUCCAGCCAAUCCAACGACGGGGUUUGUAACCAAUUCGAUGUAGAGACCAUGGUGACUGGCUCCGCCCCCUUACUGUCAAAAAGAGAAACAGCGAGCGCGUAGAAAACACCUUCGAGCGCGAGCAGAGAUUCGCCCUGCGAGCGAGCAAAUAUCUCGUGCGAGACGGAGAUUUUCUCGCGGAUGUUUCAAGGGGCGCGCGCAUCAACCUGAUUUGCGCUCUCGAAUUUUGACAGUGAUUUGCCGCCAUAUUAAUUCUUUUAAAAGUGAUAUUCGAAUCAAAUCCAUAUGUUGGCAUAACAGGUUUUGCAAUAGUAACAGAUUUCUAGCGACACGAUCAAGCAUAAAGUGUCACGGUGCUUUAAUAAUUGCUUGUGUUUGAUGUCAAUGAUCACCCACAAAACAACCACAGGGGCGGAAAUCAAAAUUUCAAAGCGGUAAAAGCGUUGAGAAAAUGACUCCUCCUUAUUGGUUAGCUAGUCUAAAAUAUUAAACUUUUCCCAACUUUGUGAAAGAAAUUGGGAGACACCAGAUUUUCUUAAUCACAGCUUGAAUGCGGGGAGGCGUACAAAUCUUCCUUUCCUAAACUUUGUAUGACCUCAGAUAAUUCCAACCAAAGUAUUGUUUAGGGAAUAAAAUGCAGUGUGCUGUGUAUUUCCCUAAGACUGUUUCCCCUCUAUCCUCUGCUCUUCUGUGGCAGUGAAAGCACAGUAUCUUCUGAAGUGAGAUCAGGAGGAGAACUCAUCCUAUUGCACGUGUGAGGUCUCUCCUUGCAUUUCUCCAACUGGUCCCUAUUAAAAAUUUAUAUUUCUCUGAGUGCAAAGUAAAUGCGGAUUAUAAAAAGAAAAGAAGCGCACUAUGAAAUGUGCUUGAGAGGAGUGCUCAGAGGAAAGCACACACCAAUCGAAAGACCUCCAGGUCAGCACAAAUAUCUUGGAGAUGACGAGAGUUACAUUUUGUGCAUUUCUACGAAGCCCUAUUUGCCCACAGUAUAAAAACAUCCCCAUCAAAGUAGCAUGGUGGAAAUGAAGCUCCUGUUCAAGGCAGGAGAACAGCUGAGAGUCCGAGACCAGUAGUCAGGCCAAACUUAAGCUUCUUUAUUGGUUUCCCGUGGUCAUUACUAUUUCAUCCAAGGUCACAAAUGGUCAGUCAAUGGAGUCAUCAUCCAUACAUUCUGGUAGAAAUUCACCAUAAUAAAACCAAGUGUCCUAUUUCACAUUUUCAAUGUAAUGCGCUAAUUGUCAAUUAACAGCUCAGCCUUAAAUUUUGGAAAAUUGAGGCAGGAAAGAAAGCGGGAGCCAAACGACGGACACAGUUGGAUGGAUAUUUGUCCUCCUCAGUAAUGCGUGUACAUACAUUAUGCAAUAAACAAGUGUGAAAGGGAAAUCUGUGAAACCUACAAGUAUGGAAAUGGUAAUCAGAUCCAACCAUUACCGUUGAGUGAGUUUUUUUAUUCUCAAUUACAACUAACCUUGAUGCCUCCCCCCGUGGGCUACGGCGUUCGAUUGCUCCAUGUCCACUUUGUGUGUGAGGCGAUAAGCACGGUCCACUCUCUUAACAAACACGGCUUGAGCUGUUUGCAUGUGGCUAUCUGGGAGGCAGGUGUGCAGGGAGGCUUUGACUUUUCAAGCCGUAUUCAAACAAAGACAGAUUACAUCUAUUCUUCCAGCGCCAGAGGGGCUUAUUUAACACAGGUUUGACACAUCUGUACGCAGCAGAAUGGACUGAGAUAAAAUGGAGAGGAGUGCGGGGGGUAAUACUGAGCUGACCAGAUAUGGAAAUGUGGGCAAUGUGUUAAAGCAACAUGGUGACGAGAUGAAGCGUGGCGGUGAUUGACAGCCUGGGGGGGAGACGUACGCUGUAGACGAGGAAAAAGAGAGAGAGAGGCAGAGAAGGGGGGAAGCACAUCUUACUUUACUCAUGGACUUGUCGAUACUCCUACAGGCUCUUUAAGAAUGGCGCUAGACGCUAUUGCUCUUCUGGAAAAAAGAAUGCCAACAAGAAGGAAGUCUGCUCCUUGGUUUAACCCUCAAACCCGGAACCUACAGCAAACUGCGCAAACCAAAUCAGAAGGAUCUAGGCUAGUUUGGCAAGACAGCCUUAAAACAUAUAAGGCGCUCUGUAAUGCAACAGCAUCUUUUUACUCAUCAUUAAUAGAGAAAACAACUCCAGGUUUCUCUCCAGCGCAAAGACUGACAGUCACAGCUCUGUCGAGCCACGUAUUCCUUUGAACCUCAGUAGUAACUAGGAUUGUCACAAUACAAAAAUGAUGACUUAGAUACCUGCCAAAAUAUUACAGUACCCGAUACUUACGAUAUGAUACUGGAAUAUUUACCUUUGAUAGUAAUAAAUAAAACAUCUGUAAGGUUCCCUUUCUUACCUGGCAUCUGUUUGACUGUGGGAUAAACAAUGCUUCAUUUACUUGCAUAAAGAUGUUUAUUCUCACAUUUGUAUUUCCUUGACCUAAUUCUUUGUAUUUUUAGUUAAGAUCCACCCUCAGACUCCACCAGCAUGUAGCCUAUUGGAUCAAGUGUGUAUUAUUUGGUACAAUUUUGUGUGCAUUCUGACCUCAUGAUCAUCAUAGGCCCACAUGAGUGAAAUUGUAGGUUAUUUUUGCUUGCUUGCUUGAUGUUUGACUGUUAGGAAAGUUGUUGUCUAGCGAGCCAACAAAGCUACAGGCUGCCAACUCUCACCGUUUCCUCGUGUGACGCACGCGUUUGCAUGUUUUCACACGCACUCAUGCCACACAUCCAACUUCUUAGGCAAAAAAAAAAUCUGCGUCGGUAUCGCCGAUGGUAAAUGGCGCAUCUGUAACCCGAUACGCUGCACGUAGCAUAACUUACACCCCCCGUCAGCCACAGCGCUCCCCCCCGACAACAUCUCCCUCUGUAGCGAUCACAAUAACAUUACAAAGAAGCCGACGCGAGAGCACUUAAUACUAUCAUCAGUGUCCGAGCGUGCUAUAACAAGCUUGAUAACAUCACUAACGAGAAGUCUUGCUAGCGGCUAAACUUAGCAAAACCUGUUCGCUUACUUUGUUUAUGACAAACUAGCAAGUCAACAAUUUUCCAAACAUAGUCAAACAUCAAGCAAGUGCAACACAAGACAAAGCAGACGUCCUCUUUUACCUUGACAUUUCAAGUAGUUCAUUUAAAAUAGGACGUCUGGUCACCCAAGCUAAGCUAGUCUAAGGCUACGCGUGUUAGUCUGCUACAGGAGGGCACGUCUGCCCUGAUAACUCGCUGUCAGAGACAGUGAAAGCCUGACAGGAAGCGCGCUCUGAUUGCCUGCCUGAUUUUAUGUUUUCAAGCCCGUCCCAUUCCCCACUUGCCAUGAAGGAGAAGUUGGUGCUGGUGCUGUGGUAAGCAUGUUUUUUCACAAAAAUGUUUUUUGCAUGUAAAAGUAAAUUUUCUUGAUUCAGGUAGAAAAAUGUAUAUCAUACAUGUUGAUGAACUUCCAACAUAAAACCAUGUGGUUGAUGCUAGCUGAAGAUUAGCCUGAAUUGCUAAGAGAUGUGUUUUUUUCUAAAAUAGUGGCUGUGGGGUAAAGUGAGAAAUGCUGAAGCACAAGUUAAGUUCAGUCUUAAACAUAUUUUAGUGUAAAAUUACAUUACAUGUUUUAUUUUUAAUGUAGAAUUGUAGAAAAGCAAUCAUGCCAAGAAACUACACCAGGAAGACAACCUGGGGCCCAACACCCCUCGCAGAGAUGGAGAGUGCAGCCGCUGAGGUCAUGCAAGGAAAGAAGUCCUUAAGAAAAAGCUGGAAGGGAUAGAAAUAUUGACAAGACAACCCUACAAAGAUUCAUAAAGAAAAAAGAGAAAGGGGAAGUAAAAUCAGUAGCCUGGGGUGCAGUAGCCGAGGCAAGGAGAAUAUUCACAGAUGAGAUGGAGGAGGAGCUUGCCAAACACUUGAAACAACUAGCUGACCAGUUCCAUGGCCUUGCUCCAGUUAAGUGCCGUGAACUGGCAUUUGAAUACGCAGAGAAAAACAAUAUCCCUGUCCCUGCCAAUUGGACAGAGAAACAAUGUUCAGGUAGGCUAGGGUGUGCAAGAGAUCACUUGAUUCUGUAGGUUAACUGAUCUUGCCACAAAGCUAAAUCUUAUAAUAAAGAAUUCUCUACUCUUUAGGAGAAGAGUGGUUUGGCAGCUUCCUAGCACGUCGCCAGCUCUCUGUCCGUACUCCGGAGGCAACAUCCCUGGGAAGGGCUACAGCCUUCAAUAAAACUACAAUGGGCUGUAGUGAUGGACAGGUGACAUAAUUCAUUAUUUAGUUGCAAAUUGUUUAUGGAGGCUUUACCUGUAAGAUAGUUUGGUUCUUGCCUAUCUUCUUUAACAGGUACACAUUCCCUCCACACAUGAUUUACAAUGUGGAUGAAACAGGUGUCUUUACAGUACAAACGCCACGGCAGGUAGGCUACACAUGAUACACUAGAGAGCACCAGACUGAUACUGAGUGGCUUGUGAUAAUGACCAGCUAGCUAUUGGCAGAAUGCUAAAACUAAUGAUAUUAGUAAUGUUGUGAACUGGAAAAAAAAAAUGAAUGGACUGAAACUAAAUACAAUGCACCUUUAGAACAAUAGUAGCCUACUGAUUGCAGAUGCCAUUGAUUCUAAACUUUCUAUUUGAUUCAGGUUGUGACAGAGAAAGGAAAAAAGCAAGUUGGUUCUAUCACAUUGGCUGAGAGAGGAGAACUGGUGACUGUAGUGUGUGCAGUGAAUGCUGCUGGGAAUGCCAUACCUCCAAUGUUUAUCUUCCCCAGAGUUAGGAUUAAGGACCACUUCAUGAUAGGAGCACCUCCUGGAGCCAAAAGGUGCCUCCACCAGAACAGGAUGGAUGAAUGAAGACACCUGGCCUGAGUUCCUUGAUCACCUGAUACAGCACACUAAGUGCACUCCUGACCAUCCCAUGCUGCUAAUCCUUGAUAAUCUUAAAGCUCACAUCUCACUCAAGGCAGUAGAAAAAGAAAAGAGCAACGGUAUUGUUCUGCUCACCCUUCCACCCCACACAUCCCAUCGCAUGCAGCCUCUCGACGUGACCGUGUAUGGCCCGUUCAAGACCCUAUACAGCAGAGCUCUUGAUGGGUGGAUGAGAUCUAACCCUGGCAAAACAGUCUCCAUCUACGAGUUUGCAGGACAUGUGAAUGAGGCCUUCUUAUCAGCAGUGACACCACGGAAUAUCACUUCUGGAUUCAAGGAUUUUCCCAUAUAACCGAGAUAUUUUCCCUGAGGAAGCGUUUGCACCAUCCAUGGUGUCAGACCGGCCAAAUCCUGAGCUGCAGCCUGCAUCCACUGGUCCAUCCACUUCAGAUGAUCCGACUGAUCCACCCGCUGCAGAUGAUCCACUCGCUGAUGCAGGUCCAUCCACUGCGCAUGGUCCACAUGGAUGUGCCUCGCCAGCUGACUCAGAUGUGCCACGUGUUCCCAGCCGACCUGGAUAUGUGUCUCCUCGGGAAAUCCUACCACUUCCCAAAUGUCCCCCCAGAGCACAAACCAAGAGAAAGCGUGUGAAGACAGCCAUCCUAACUGAUACUCCUGAGAAGCAGACACUAGAAAAGGCUUAUGAAGAGAGACAAAAGGAACUGGCAGGCAAAAAGCAAAGAAAAGGGACAACCGAAAAGGAAAGCACCCAAAAAGUUCUGAGGAUGAUCCUGGAAACGCAGAUCUGUCCGUGGGUGACUUUGUCCUAGUUAACUUUGCAACCAAACACAGGAGUCUCUGUUACAUUGGCAUGGUUGAGAAAGUUGAGGAUGACGAAGUUCUUACACAAUUCCUCAGAAGAAUCCAGGAAAACAAGAAAGAGUGGGAGAGACCCACGUUUGCUGUAAAGGAAAAUGAUCUGGCACAUGUUCCUAAAAGGUGAUGUGGUGAAGAAGCUGCCUCAACCUAAUAGGCCUGGAGGAACCACACGGAGAGAGCAACUCUUCACCUUUCCCUGUAACCUUCAGGGCUGGAAUGUAGGGUAGGCCUUGUUAUAGAGUAUGAGGCUGAUGUUCUAAUCCAGGUGGGUCUAGUCGUGUGUUCUGAGUCUCAGGCUGUUCUAGCUGGUUCUAAUUAUGGUCCCAUGACUGUUCUAAUGUAACUGGUUCUAUCUGCCAUUUGAAUGCUAAUAAAACCAUUUUGAAUUAUAUUAUGUUGUAUAUGAUUUUGUUCGGAGUUACUUUCAAGUGUUUAAACAAAAAAUGUACUUACUUGACCAAUCCCCAUGAUUCUGUUACUAGUCCGAUAUUAGUUCUCCUUCAGGGACUACCGCUGCGUGUAAUCGCAGUGGGAACGCCCUCAGCGUGACGCGUCUGAAGCAUGAAUGAAAUCAGUCAAUGGAGAGAAAGAGCGUACGGCGAGUGACGUCAUCGACCAGGAAGCUGUAAAUAUCCCCAGAGCACACAACACGCCAGCUUUUUUUACUUCAGCAGCUCGGUAUGUGUGUCUGAAUCUGUCGAUUGUGUUUGUCUGUUCUGUCAGGAGUUUAUCACUAUAUAUUUAUAUAUAUAUAAAAAACCAAUAUGAGCGAGCAGUAUAAGAAGUGUGUUCCUCCCUGUACUCGAUAUAUCACGGGUGGGGAUUCACACAAGUUAUGUGUGGCUUGUUUGGGUGUUCAACAUGCCCAGUCGGCUCUUGAGGGAGUCGACUGUAAGCAUUGCGAACGCUUUCCUCUUAGAACUCUGCGCUCGCGGCGAUCGCUCUUUGAGGAGAGUGGUAUGCUGCGAGCUCCCCAAGGCUCGGGUCCCGCUUCUGUUGAGGCAGAGCGGCGGCGCUUGUCUUGGGGUUCGCAGAUGGAUCUCACCGGCGAUGUUGCGACAGGCCCCGCCCUGUCUCAGCCUUCUCCGGCGGGAUCCAGUGCCUUUCACCCGGUUUCGGAAGCACGCGCUGCGGCGGUUACUUCUGCCCAGGUGGAGGCACAUGAUGAUGUUGAAUUGAGAUUAUCCAGUUCUGAGGAUCUGGAUGUCGAAAGUUUUGCAUCAGAGGAAACUAGUGUCUCACAUUAUACUGCAAAUGAAGAAGGUUUGAUGGAUGUGUUAUCUCGCGCUGUUGAAAAGCUCAGUAUCGAGUGGCCAGCUGAUAGACAGGAUUCUAAAAUUAGAAGCAAACUUGAUGAUAGAUUUCUGUCUGCACGACCUCAACCUUCUCGCCGGUGCUUACCGUUCUUCCCAGACCUUCAUGAUGAGGUUUCAAAUACCUGGGUUAGACCGGUUUCUAGCAGAAUUUACACGAAUCAAUCUAAUGCUUAUGGAAACAUUUUUGGUGCAAAAUCUGCUGGUUAUGUGACAAUGCCGAAGGCGGAGGAGACGCUCGCGAGCUAUCUCUCUCCUGCUUCUUCGGUUUCACUUAAAGCACCGGCUCUUCCAUCUAGACCACUAAAAAAUACCUCUGUGCUGGUGGGGAAGGCUUACUCGGCUGCUGGGCAGGCGGCUGCGUGUUUGCACACUAUGGCUAUUAUGCAGGCUUAUCAGGCCGACCUGCUCAAAGAUGUUUCUGAAGGGGGUGAAAUUUCGGCUGAUAUGAUUAGCGAACUUAGGCAGACUGCUGAUCUCACUCUGCGUGCCACCACUAAAUCUAUUGGUCGAUCUAUGGCAGCCAUGGUGGCCACAGAAAGGCACUUAUGGUUGAGUCAGACAUCUAUGAAGGAAAGAGAUAAAUCUCUCCUUUUAAAUGCUCCUGUUUCACCUGCGGGCCUCUUCGGUGACGCUCUUCACUCGGUCACGGAGAGGUUCCAGGAAGAGAAAAAACAGGCGGCUGCUUUUUCUAAAUUUAUCCCUCUCAAGAUACGUGUCACUGGGGCUGCUGAGCGAAAAGGGCAGUCCCAGCCGUCGAGUUCUUCCUCUUCAAAAAGAGCACAGCAGAAGCGGAGUGUCGCGUCUCGUGCCCCCCCGCAGGGAAACUGGAGGGACGAGGCGGGGCGCUCUCCGGCGCGGCCUUCUCGGGGCAGGACUGAUCUGAGGACAGUCAUUGUCGCCAGGAAGGCCGCGUCGAAAAAGUCCUGACGGGCUGAACGUCAGGACUCUGAGGGUGGUCCCCAUCGGGAGAGACUUGAGUUCACCGCACAAGAACACGGUGCCCUGUCUUUCCCGAUGCCCUCAGGGGUCUGUUCUACUAACCCUGCCUACACAGGGCGUAGAGAGACUCGGCGAGCGAUUUCCCGAGGGACGCUCGCCCCCUCCGAGGAGGGUUGUGGAGUGUUCAGACCAGCUGUUUCCUGCCAGUAUGUUACAGGGCGCUGUGUCUGUCACUCGGGAUGUUCAUCCAGAGACCAGCCUCGAGAGGCUGGUUCCCUUAGUAGAGUUCC
ensembl:lncRNA